UUUUGGAGAGUUUGAUCCUGGCUCAGGAUGAACGCUGGCGGCGUGCUUAACACAUGCAAGUCGAACGGUGAAGCCCAGCUUGCUGGGUGGAUCAGUGGCGAACGGGUGAGUAACACGUGAGCAAUCUGCCCCUGACUCUGGGAUAAGCGCUGGAAACGGCGUCUAAUACUGGAUAUGAACCGUGGAGGCAUCUUCAACGGUUGGAAAGAUUUUUUGGUCAGGGAUGAGCUCGCGGCCUAUCAGCUUGUUGGUGAGGUAAUGGCUCACCAAGGCGUCGACGGGUAGCCGGCCUGAGAGGGUGACCGGCCACACUGGGACUGAGACACGGCCCAGACUCCUACGGGAGGCAGCAGUGGGGAAUAUUGCACAAUGGGCGCAAGCCUGAUGCAGCAACGCCGCGUGAGGGAUGACGGCCUUCGGGUUGUAAACCUCUUUUAGCAGGGAAGAAGCGAAAGUGACGGUACCUGCAGAAAAAGCGCCGGCUAACUACGUGCCAGCAGCCGCGGUAAUACGUAGGGCGCAAGCGUUAUCCGGAAUUAUUGGGCGUAAAGAGCUCGUAGGCGGUUUGUCGCGUCUGCUGUGAAAUCCCGAGGCUCAACCUCGGGUCUGCAGUGGGUACGGGCAGACUAGAGUGCGGUAGGGGAGAUUGGAAUUCCUGGUGUAGCGGUGGAAUGCGCAGAUAUCAGGAGGAACACCGAUGGCGAAGGCAGAUCUCUGGGCCGUAACUGACGCUGAGGAGCGAAAGGGUGGGGAGCAAACAGGCUUAGAUACCCUGGUAGUCCACCCCGUAAACGUUGGGAACUAGUUGUGGGGUCCAUUCCACGGAUUCCGUGACGCAGCUAACGCAUUAAGUUCCCCGCCUGGGGAGUACGGCCGCAAGGCUAAAACUCAAAGGAAUUGACGGGGACCCGCACAAGCGGCGGAGCAUGCGGAUUAAUUCGAUGCAACGCGAAGAACCUUACCAAGGCUUGACAUAUACGAGAACGCUGCAGAAAUGUAGAACUCUUUGGACACUCGUAAACAGGUGGUGCAUGGUUGUCGUCAGCUCGUGUCGUGAGAUGUUGGGUUAAGUCCCGCAACGAGCGCAACCCUCGUUCUAUGUUGCCAGCACGUAAUGGUGGGAACUCAUGGGAUACUGCCGGGGUCAACUCGGAGGAAGGUGGGGAUGACGUCAAAUCAUCAUGCCCCUUAUGUCUUGGGCUUCACGCAUGCUACAAUGGCCGGUACAAAGGGCUGCAAUACCGUAAGGUGGAGCGAAUCCCAAAAAGCCGGUCCCAGUUCGGAUUGAGGUCUGCAACUCGACCUCAUGAAGUCGGAGUCGCUAGUAAUCGCAGAUCAGCAACGCUGCGGUGAAUACGUUCCCGGGUCUUGUACACACCGCCCGUCAAGUCAUGAAAGUCGGUAACACCUGAAGCCGGUGGCCCAACCCUUGUGGAGGGAGCCGUCGAAGGUGGGAUCGGUAAUUAGGACUAAGUCGUAACAAGGUAGCCGUACCGGAAGGUGCGGCUGGAUCACCUCCUUU
rnacentral:rRNA from 1 species